CCACACUAGCAUCUUGAAACAACGUCAAGGAAGAGCAGGUUCUCAGCAUCUUGAAACGUUGUCAAGGAAGAGCAGGUUCUCAGCAUCAUUGUCAAGGAAGAGCAGGUUCUCAGCAUCUUGAAACGUCGUCAAGGAAGAGCAGGUUCUCAGCAUCUUGAAACAUCGUCAAGGAAGAGCAGGUUCUCAGCAUCUUGAAACAUCGUCAAGGAAGAGCAGGUUCUCAGCAUCAUGAAACAUCGUCAAAGAAGCAGGUUCUCAGCAUCAUGAAACAUUGUCAAAGAAGCAGGUUCUCAGCAUCAUGAAACAUUGUCAAAGAAGCAGGUUCUCAGCAUCAUGAAACAUCGUCAAAGAAGCAGGUUCUCAGCAUCUUGAAACAUCGUCAAAGAAGCAGGUUCUCAGCAUCUUGAAACAUCGUCAAAGAAGCAGGUUCUCAGCAUCAUGAAACAUCGUCAAAGAAGCAGGUUCUCAGCAUCAUGAAACAUCGUCAAAGAAGCAGGUUCUCAGCAUCAGAAACAUCGUCAAAGAAGCAGGUUCUCAGCAUCAUGAAACAUCGUCAAAGAAGCAGGUUCUCAGCAUCAUGAAACAUCGUCAAAGAAGCAGGUUCUCAGCAUCAGAAACAUCGUCAAAGAAGCAGGUUCUCAGCAUCAUGAAACAUCGUCAAAGAAGCAGGUUAUCUGACCAACACCAUCAUCAUGUACAGUAGACUAAAGCUCCCCUCGCCUCACUAAGAGGUCAGAUAAUGUUAGGCGAAUAGGCCUGGCUCGCAGUCGGUGUUCCAAUUCAUCCCAAAGGUGUUCGAUGGGGCUAAGAUCAGGGUUCUGCGCAGGCCAUUCAAGUUCUUCGACACCGAUCUCGACAAACCAUUUCUAUAUGGAUCUUGCAUUGUGCAUGGGGGCAUUUUCAUGUUGGAACAGGCCUUCCCCAAACUGUUGCCACAAAGUUGGAAGCACAGAAUCAUCUAGAAUGUCAUUGUAUGCUGUAGCUUUAAGAUUUCCCUUCACUGGAACUAAGGGGCCUAGCCCGAACCAGGAAAAAAACAGUCCCAGACCAUUAUUCCUUCACAAAACUUUACAGUUGGCAAUAUGCAUUCGAGUAGGUAGCGUUCUCCUGAGAUCCGUCAAACCCAGAUUCAUCCGUCAGACUGCUAGAUGGUGAAGCGUGAUUCAUCACUCCACAGAAUGUGUUUCCAUGGCCGAGAGCUUUACACCACUCCAGCUUGGCAUUGCACAUGGUGAUCUUAGGUUUGUGUGCGGCUGCUCAGCCAUGGAAACCCACUUCAUGAAGCUCCUGACGAACACACUUUGUGCUGGUGCUGCUUCCAGAGGCAGUUUGGAAUUCAGUAGUGAGUGUUGCAACCCAGGACAGAUGUUUUUACGCGCUACGCGCUUCAGCAGUCCCGUUCUAUAAGCUUGUGUGGCCUACCACUUCGCGGCUGAGCCGUUGUUGCUCCUAGGCAUUUCCACUUCACAAUAACAGCACUUAUAGUUGACCAGGGCAGCUCCAACAAGGAAGCAUUUUUUUUUAUUUUUAAACUGACUUGUUGGAAAGGUGGCAUCCUAUGACGGUGCCACGUUGAAAGUCACUGAGCUCUUCAAUAAAGACAUUUUACAGGCAAUGUUUGUCGAUGGAGAUUGCAUGCCUGUGUGCUCGAUUUUAUACACCUGUCAGCAACGGAUGUAGCGGAAAUAGCCAAAUCCACUAAUUUUAAGGGGUGUCCACAUACUUUUGUAUAUACAGUGCAUUCGGAAAGUAUUCAGACCCAUUGACUUUAUCCACAUUUAGCUACGUUACAGCCUCAUUCUAAAAUUGAUUACAUUUAUUUUUUUCCAUCAUCAAUCUACACACAAUACCACAUAAUGACAAAGCAAAAACAGGUGUGUAAAAUGUAUUUAAAAAAUGUUUAAAAAAUAAAUAAAUCUAUAUACAUUUACAUAAGUAUUCAGACCCUCUGCUAUGAGACUUGAAUUUGAGCUCAGGUGUAUCCUGUUUCCAUUGAUCAUCCUUGAGAUGUUUCUACAACUUGAUUAGAGUCCACCUUGGGUAAAUUCAAUUGAUUGGACAUGACUUGGAAAGGCACACACCUGUUUAUAUAAGGUCUCACAGUUGACAGUGCAUGUCAGAGCAAAAACCAAGCCAUUUGGUUGAAGGAAUUGUCUGUAGAGCUCUGAGAAAGGAUUGUGUCAAGGCACAGAUCUGGAGAAAGGUACCAAAACAUUUCUGCAGCAUUGAAGGUUCCCAAGAACACAGUGGCCUCCAUCAUUCUUAAAUGAAAUAAGUAUUUUCACUCUCCAUUAUGGGAUAUUGUGUGUAGAUUUAUGAAUAUUUAAAUGUUUAAAAAUAUAUAUAUCUACAGAUAAGGCUGUAACGUAACGAAAUGUGGAAAAGUCAAGGGGUCU